UUCCAGCGUAAUAUCUUGAUCCACUCAUCAGCUUCUACUCCUGUCUUUGCACAGAGAUAGAAUGUCCGGAAUGGAAAUACUAAGCUAGUAAGACAAAAGAAACAAUGUUCAGAUAUUCCAGAGGGCUGGUUGCUUAUAUAUAAUUGGUUGAACAUUAUCUAGAGUAUUUCAAGAGAGAAAAGAAAUCAGUAAAGGGCCUGGGCAAGCAACUUGAUGAACUGCUACAUAUGAUAUCCCUGCUAGCAAACUGCAGAAGUGGUGAGGAAAUUAUAGAUUCAUAUCACAGGCCAGGUUUGUAUUCUCUACUGAGACUUCAAAGAAGAAAAAGAACAUGUCCAGCACACCCCAACACUCCCUAGAAACUUUUGUUGUUCCAUUUUUAGCUGAAUACGCCACUCAUGUAUUUAUUCAGCUGAUCUCUCAAAGGACUCAGAGAACCUGUGCUGUGAUUCAAAGAGUAAGCGAGACAAGUAAGAGAGGUGUUGAAAGAACUCAUUUAUGACCUUCAUGGAUGGAAGACAUUUUAACUACUUAGGACAGGAAAAAGAGACAAUAAAAUUUGUUAGCUAUUCAUUUUGGCCACCAUUGGUCAUAAAUCAGCCUCUGCUGGAGGAAAAAUGAACUUUCCUACCUAGUGGCAAGGAAGAAUUUUUCUAGGAAUAUGGUAAUUGAUUUGACUGUCUCUUUGGCUAUAUAAUCAAAAUCAUUUGACCUAAAAGAUCAGUCAUAGUUUAUAUCCUGCCCAUAAUUCCUGUCUUUCCAGUUGUUAUACAAAACAUUAAAAAUCUUUUUUUUUUCCUCUCUCAUGGAAAAAAGAAAUCCUUGAAUUGAAAUUCAGAAGGAUUUCUAUCUACAAAAGCCUAAGCAGCAAAUUUUGCCUGUACCAGUAAUUAUUAUACAGAUAAGAGGUAAGUCCCUGUGUAUAAAGGGUCAGUCCUUGAUGUGAGGUCCAGCUGGAGUAUAACUGGAGAGCGAUGGGGAGAGGAGUGACAGCGUGCAUACACUGUAUAAAAUUGGGCUCUGGGAUUGUUGUUCGGAAUUCCCUGUGGGAGAUGCUAAUAAUUGCCUACUAACACAGAUAUUUUUUUUUUCCUUUCUCCUUGCUGGCAGAACCCCCAAGCAAUAAGCAUAAUUACUUUAAGCCAAUCAUGACCAUUCUAUUACUCUUUUCUGACCUGCCCUCCUGCUGGGGAGGGACAUGGGACUCUUGGCCAAUAAGAUAUGAAGGGAAAUCUAAUAGGGGAGUAAAGCCCUGGUGGUACAGUGGUUAAGAGCUAUGGCUGCUAACCAAAAAGUCACCAGUUCGAAUCUACUGGCAGCUCCUUGGAAACCCUGUGGGACAGUUCUACUCUGUCCUCUGGGGUUGCUAUGAGUUGGAAUCAACUCAACGGCAAUGAGUUUUUUUUUUUUUUUUGAAUAGGAGAAUUUCUGGAAGAACUUUUGCUUUCCUGAUUAAAAAAAGAAAGACAUGGCCAAUACCAUCAUGCACUCUUUUAUUCCUGUCCUAUAUACAGACAUGAAGGCUGAAGCUGGCAUAGCCAUCUUAGACCUUGAGUAGCAAGCAUGAGGAAAAGACCAAGAGAAUGUAGAGAUAUUGGUCCUGACCUUGUCAAGGUGGCUGCCUGCCUCCAGAUUUCUUGUUAUAUGAGAAAAAUAUACAGCUUCUCUCUCAUAUGGCACUUUAGUGCAGAUUUUCUUAGUUGUGAUAAUAUUCUAGUUCUUAGGAAAUGCAUACUCAAGUAUUUAGAGAUAUAGCUCCAUGAUGUCUGUAAUUCACUUUCAAUUGGUUCAGAGGAAAAAAAGUGGACAGAGAUAAAGCAAAUAUGGCUGUAUAGUAGCAACUGAUGCAUCUAGAUGAAGGGGUAUUUGUAUAUAUAAGUCUUUCAACUUUUUAUACACUUUGAACACUUUAAAACAAAAAUUAGUAGAAAAUAAUCCACUCCUUUUUCAAGACAUUUUACUUCUCCCAGUUAGAAAAUUGUCAUAAUAUACUGAUAAUGUUAGAACAAAACACCGCCAGAAAUUGUCAUAAACAUACAAAUCACCCAUCCUUGGAGUCAAUGAAGUUGUAAUUAAAAUUAAGUAAAAAGCUCAAAUGAAUAAAGCUGUCUGAAAUGUGAAUGGCAUCCUCUUAGGUGUGUCGUACAUGUGCAGUAUACAACCUAAGCAGUUGGACCCAGCAGGCUUGCCUACUUGUUUAAACCACUUUAAAUGAGGUAUUAUGUCACACGCAGCCAGAAGCGCUCCUAACUGAUGUCUCAUGCAAUGGCUAAGUCCACAUCCCUCAGGUCAGAACAUUUUACUGCAUUAAGACAUACCGUUUCUUAUUCCUUAGCUAAAAUAAGUCAUUGGCAAGAACACUUUUAAAAACAUUUCAUUUAUAAAACAACUUACCAAAAACAGUUUACUUUUUCCUGUGAGUAAUCGAAUUGUACAGCUGAACAUUCUGUUAAGUCUAGGAUCCGAAUUGGUUCUGGUGACUUCAUUAAAAAAAAAAAAAAAAAAGCAGCCUAUGUCAGCAUAAAAUGCACACACACACACAUCUGCCCACUACCAUUCCCCUAACGGUUUUGCACUACUUACAAUUUUACUUUCACUGAGAGAACUGAAACUAGAGAAGCCUUAUAAGGGAAGUCACACACACCUGGUUUGGGGAUUAACCUUCCACAACACAGGGUAUUAAGAAGAGAUUGCCUUUAUCAAUUUACAUUUAAGGGAGAUGGAUUUUAACACAUGGAUGGGGGUUAUGUUUUUCUUCCAUCUUCUUAAACUUCUACUUGCUCAGAAAUUUUGUAUAGGGAAGGUGAGAGAAAUAAUUUCAGGCUUAACGAAAAGGAUAUGGGAAAUAGGCAUGUUUUAAAAAAUUUAUUUUAUUUUUGUUUUUGUGAAUAUACACAUCAGAACAUAGACCAAUUCAAUAAUUUCUGCAUGUACAAUUCAGUGACAUUGAUCACAUUCUUCUAGCUGUGAUCAAUUGUUCCUCUUUCCCUAACAUAAACUCACUGCUCCUAAGUUUCCUACCUAAUCUUUUGAGUCACUGUUGUCAGUUUGAUCCCCUGUAGUAGAUCUUAAAAGAGUACAAUGCCCAAGGCAGACAUUUACUAGUUAAGCUAAACUAUUGCUUGGUUUUAAGAAGACUUCAGGGGCCAUCUUUUGUUUAAGGUUUAAGGAUUAUUUUAGGGCAAUAGUUUCAGGCGCUCAUCCAGCCUCCAUAGCUCCAGAAAGUCUAGAUUCCAUGAGAAUUUGUGAAAUUCUUUUCUGCAUUUUCCUCCUUUUGAUCAGGAUUCUUCUAUAGAAUCUUUGAUCAAAUUGUUCAGUAAUGGUGGUUGGGCACCAUCCAGUUCUUCUGGCCUCAUAGCAAAAAGGGCAGUUGUUCAUGGAGUCAAUUAGUCACACAUUUCGGGAAAUGAACAAAUGUUUAAUAAAUAGGGAAAUUGCUUCACAGAGGCAAUAAAUUAUGGCAAGAGAAUGAUUCCAUUGUCCUAGACAGGCAGAAUUAUAUUCUCUGGGAGCCACAGCCUAGCCACUCUAAGAGAGCAAUUUCUGGAAUAUCCAUCUCAUCUUUGCAAAAUAGCUCUGCUCAUGUGAGGAAUCAGGGAUUCACACUCCCCAUUAUUUAUUGGAUUUUGUUUUGUUUUGGGGUGGGCAUAGGAGAUUUUCAGGGAUUUUAAACCAGAUGUUCCUUUCUUCUAAAGAGCUGAUGUUUAAAGGGAAAAUGUGCUAUGUUUCUCACCAUUUGGUCUUUGAAAUACUUCAGUUCAUUCCUGUGCAACGUGAACCACCUUGUUUUCCAUGUCUGAGGAAAAAAAAAUUUAAUUAAAACACAUCAGAUAUAGAAUAAAGGAAGCAAUAUUUGAAUUAGACAAUUUCCUUUCCUUUUAAAAAUAUCUAUAAGAUUAAUACAAUAAGCCUUAAAAACAUUCUUGUGGUAAGAAUUGUUCCUGAUAAAAACAUUUCAGGAUAUCUAAAAAAAUUUAAAUUAUUUCAUUUGUUAAUUUUAUAACAAAGGCAGACAUCAUUAAAUAGCAUUUAAAUAAAAGAAAAUAGCCUAUAUAAAUAUUCAAGAUGUUUUAUAACAAAAGACUAGAAUGUUCAUCUUAUUAACUAUAACAAGAAUAGGUAUCAUUCUUUGAGUACCUACUAUGGGCUACAUACUAUCCUCUGAGGUUUAUUAUAUGUUAGCCAUUCCUCACACAACAAUGCCAAAUAUUAUUGUUUUUGUUUUGCUAAUAAGCAAGUUGAGGUUCAGGGUCCCCAAACCACCUGAUUUUCUAAACCUUGCCUAAAAAUUCUAUGGCAUUUGUGGCAGAAACUUCUAGUUGCCUCUCAGUAUCUGUUGUCUUCUUUUUAUAUAUUACCAGAAUUCUAAAACACACUUGGCUGCUAACUGAAAGGUUGAAGGUUCGAGUCCACCUAGGGGCACCUCAGAAGAAAGGCCUGAAAAUCUACUUCCAAAAUGUCACAGCCAUUGAAAACCCUAUGGAACACAGUUCUACUUCAAAAUACACAGGGUCACCAUGAGCCAGAAUUGACUCAACAACAACUGGUUAAUCUUAUUCCAGGAGCAAUCUGCCCAGAUAAUCUCUUGAGACCCAUGUUCCAUGGAGCAGACUUUCAGGAGUACAGAUUUAUUUAUACCUGACUUUUUUGUCCGAAAGGAAUUUGAAGUCAUUUAUACCGGGAGUAUUCAACAAACAAGAAGAAAAGAAGAACAGAGGAGCCUUGAGAAAAAUGAAAGGAAGAGUGUGCCAGAGAGGACUGAUUGUAGGGUCACAGUUCACAGAACAAACAUAAAUGGAAUCUCAGAAGAACAAUGGGUGCCCCAAUUGCACUGAAACUGAACAAUGGCCCGAGUUCCAUGGGCGUGCAGAUGUUUUCUGUCUGUUCACUUCAGUCAGUGAAGGAAAAACAUCUGGGAAAAAAUGACAUCUCAAAGUUUUAUUGUAAAGUUAGAGAAUAUUUUUCUACCCUAGGCAGUUGAAAUGUAAAAACAAACAAACAAAAAAAAUUAUAUAAGAACCUUGUCCAAGAAUAACAGUUUAGCCAAUCCAUUCUAUCAUGAACUUGUUUGCUAAGGAUGGGAAUUCAAGUGUCAUUUUUAAAGUAUUUAGAAUCCUAUGACUAUUGCGUUGCAUUUUUUAUGCGUUUACCCUGGACCAGAUGAAUGAGCCAUGGGCUUCAAAACUUAUGUUCUUGUCCAAGUUUUAUACCCCAAAUUAGAAUUUUUAUGUGAAAAAAUGUAGUUAGAAAAGCAUGCAGCUCUUAUCGCACUUAAGGCUUUUAGACGAGAGGGAGCUUGUGAUCAAGCUGGUGGUCACUUACAGAAGGAGCAGUGGGCACGAGGUCAUUUUCUGUUCUUCCUGUCUGCAUGGCGGUGUGAACCCGCACGGAUUCAUAAAUGGAAGGCUCUUCCACUUUCCUUGGAUAGGGAUGCUUCAGGACAAUCAGAGUGCCUGAGGUAGACAACAACAACAACAAAAAAAAAAGUGAUCAAAUAGUAUCACCAGAAGGAAGGUCCAAAUGCUAACAACUGGGUAACUGUGACUAGAGUGUACAAUCUCUUAUUUUCUCAUUUAUUCACUUGUUCAUUUUCUUAGCUGGACCAACAAAAAGUCUACCUGGAAAAUCUCUACCAACCAGGUAACUGCCAUCAAGUUGAUUCUGACUUAUAAGCUGGACACUGGAGGUAUAAAGAAACAUGAGACAAUUUCUGGCCUCCUAGUGCUCAGAACUAGUAAGAGAUAAGAACUAGUAAGAGAUAUAGUCAUUUAAAUAAACAGGAUGAUGGGACCAAUACUAGCAAUGUAAUCAAGUCCUAGUGGUGGUACCCAGGAGGGACUGAAGAACCCUUCUAUGAAAUGUUUAAGGAAAGCUUCGUAGAGGAGACCAUAUUUGAUCUACAGCUUAAAUAAUGACUAGAAGUUUUUUGGAGUCAGUCCCUGAGUGAUGUAGACAGUUAAAAUGCUCCACUGCUAAGCGAAAGGUUGGAGGUUUGAGUCCAUCCAGAGGGGCCUUGGAAGAAAGGCCUAGAGAUCUACUUCUGAAAAAUCAGCCACUGAAAACCCUGUGGGGCAGUUUUACUCUGACAUGCACAGGGUCGCCUUUUGUUGGAAUCGACUUGAGGGCAGUUAGUUGGUUGGUCGAGAUUUAGCAGGUAGACUUCACAGAAGUCUUGGAAACAAAACCAAGCACAUGCACUGUGGUAUAGGAGGAUUUAUUACAUUGUCCUCAUUUCUUACCAGUUCCAGAACAACUUGUAACAAUUCAGUGAACACAAUGAAAUAACAGCACUCCGCCCUCUCUCCUGCCACCCAAAUUAACUCAAUAAACUAAACAAAGCUUUCCUUAAGUGAAUAUGAAAUGAACAUGCCGGUGCUCAUGUGAGACUGCUUCGAAUUCUGUCUGGAGGAAGAGAGGUCCAGGCAGAAGAAGGACCCUCCCUAAAGGACCAAAUGUGUCCUUAUGGGCUUGGAGUUUUUGAUCUGAGAAUUUGGAACACUUCUGGCAUUUCCCCCCUCUGAACAUUUCCUUCCCGCAAUCCAUCAGUCAAUCAUAAACUAGGAACUUUGGCUGUAAAAAAGAUAAGUGAAGGGUUUUUCUUUUUCUCCUCUUGCUAUGAUCUCUUGCUUUUUAUUUCACUAGGGUCUUUUAUGCGGCAAGCCUGGGAUAGUACUAGAUACUGGGGUAGGUGUAAGUAAUUCAUUAAUUCAUUCAACAACCACCUAUUGAACUCUGCUCUGUGCCAGGCACUUGUCUAGGCACUGGGGAUACAAUAGCAAACAAAAGAGACACAGAGCCUAUUCUUAUGGAACUCACAUUCUAGUUGGAGAAGACAGGCAAAAAAUUUGAAAAAAAAAAUACACAAAUAGAAUAUAUCAGGUAGGGAGACGUAUUAUGAAGAAACUCAGAAAGCAGGUUAAAGCAGAUACAGAGUAAAAAGAGUAGGGUCAGGGUGGGUGAUAUUUGAUAUGGAUGGACAGAAAAGGCCUCUUAAAAAGGAGAUUUGAAGGAUUACAGAAAAGUAUGGUGUCCUGGCCUCAAACUGGAAUAAGAGAGGCACAAUGAGGAAAGGAAAAUACCUCCCCAGCAGUUAAAAACCCGUUAGUAAUAAUGAUAAAUCUAAAAAGAAGACAAAACCAUCCUACGGUACCUGACAUGUAUAAUGUUCUGACUGCAAAAACAACUGUGGCUUCUGAAACCCGGGCCUGGAUAAGGCACUGCUGUCAAAUGAAAAGAAGGAGCACUGAGAAAAACCAAAAGCAGUUCUCUGAUCUCGGCCCCAGAGAAGAGUGAGAGCCUCUAGCCUUCUCUUCUUUCUACAUCUAAUUCAUGUCAGUCGCAUUGGGAUCACAAUGAAAAAUGGCUUUUGUGGUUAUCGGGAGCCCCAGGCCUGCUCUUGCAGUAGCAUUGUCUGUGUUCUUUUGUCCAUGUGAUCCUUUCAUGAGAACAGAUCCAGUCAUAUAAAAAGAGGGGGACAGUUACAGUUUUACAGUCAUAAUGAAAGUAGUGACACCUAAAUCAAGAGCGGCCGUUGUGCAGACAGACACACGGGCUGUGAGAACGCAGUAUAACACUGCAGAUGCUCUGUGAUUUCGGGCUAGCUCCUACAACCCACCCGAUAGAAGCACCUCCAGGGCUCUGCCUGUGCUCACACUGCCAUGAAGCAAAGAAUGCUGCGUGUGCAGGCAUGGAGCAGGGCCUGGCUGCCGCUGCCGCUGGGAACCUGGGGACCUUUGACAGCCAUUUCAAGUUCCCUGCUCCUCCUCUGACAACUCAGAAUACAGUGAAACCUGUGAGGGGUGGAACUCGAUGGGGCUGCCUUGUUUUUCCAGGUCUCGAAAGUUUUCCUCGUGGACGGAGUGCUGUCUUACUACUUUUCUAUCCCUCUCUAUUAGUGGAAAAUAUUUGUGUUUUUUUCUUCACCGACAGUCUUCUUACACAGGUUUUGGCUUUCACAGAUUUUACUGUAUUUUAUUUAGCAAGCUGUCUUAAGAUUCAAAUAAAAAAGUAUUUGAGAAAGGAUUAUACAAAUGUUAGGUAUCAUUAUUCUUUGUUAUAGAAUACUUUUAAAUUAUUAAAUGAAAUUCCAAUCUUUGCAUGUUUGGGAACAUGUAUUUUAAAAUGUUAAGUUAAAAAAGAGUCCUAGAUGCAACAUUAUAGUAAGAAUAAAAAUGGCAGUAGUCUAGUCGUCACUGACGAUCAUGCUAAGACAGCUCAGGGACUCUCAAACAUGUCCGCCUGAGAGUAGAGGAGAGGACAACUGGUAGCCUAGGGCUCAAAGCAGCUUGCAAAUUAGAAAAAUGUUGUGUUUGAAGAUAGUCUUCGAAGUUAAUGCUCAAUUAUCAUCCUAUUCCAUGUGCUUAAUGUGAAAAUAAUGGUUUAAUUGAUGCUAUGGGAAGAUUUGUGCUUGUUGUUGUUAGGAGACCCUGUGUACAACAGAACGAAACACUGCCCAGGCCUGCACCAUCCUCACUUUUGUUGCUAAGCUUGAGCCCAUUGUUGAAGCCACUGGGUCAGUCCAUCUCAUUGAGGAGGUUCCUCUUUUUCUAUAUCCUUCUGCUUUACCAAACAUAACAUCCUUCUCCAGGAACUGGUCCCUCUUGAUAAGGUGUCCAAAGUGCACGAGACAAAGUCUUACCAUUCUCGCUUCUAAAGAGCAUUCUGGCUAUAUUUCUUCCAAGACAGAUUUGUUUGUUCUUCUGACAGCCCGUGGCAUAUUCAAUAUUCUUCACCAACACCAGAAUUCAAAGGUAUCAAUUCUUCUCUGGUCUUCCUUAUUCAUUUCCCAGCUUCACAUGCCUAUGAGCUGUUCGAAAACACCAUGACUUGGAUCAGGUGCACCUUAGUCCUUAAAAUGCCACCUUUGCUUUUUAACACAUUAAAGAAGAUUUUUGCCGCAGAUUUGCCUAAUGUAACACUCAUUUGAUUUCUUGACUAUUGCUUCCAAGGGCCUUGAUUGUGGAUCCAAGUAAAAUGAAAUCCUUGUCAACUUUAAGGAAGACCCAUCAGGUUAAUCCUCUCCUUGUGCAUAACCAGGCACACCCUGGUACUGGUGUUCGUUUCCUUUAGCUGCUGUAAAAAAUUGCCACAAACUUAGUGGCUAAAAACAACACAAAUUUAUUAUCUUACAGUCCUCAAGCUCAGAAGUCUGAAAACGGUCUCCCUGGUCUAAAAUCAAGGUGUUGGCAGGACGACAUUUCUUUCUGGAGGCUCUAGAGGAGAAUUUAUUUCCUUGCCUUUUCCAGCUUCUAGAGGCUGCCUGCAUUUCUUCUCUCAUUGUCUUCUUCCUCCGGUUUCAGAGGCAGCAACAGCAGGUCAAGUUCGUCUCAUGUUACCAGCCCUCUCGUUCUCUUCUGUCUCCCUCUUUUACUUAUAAGGAUCCUUGUGAUUACAAUGGCCCCACCUGGAUAAUCCAGGGGAUAAUCGUCCUAUCUCAAGGUCAGUUUAUUAGUAACCUUAAUUCCCCCUUGCCAUGUAACAUAAGAGUCCCUGGGGUGGUACAAGCAUUUAACACACUCGGCUGCUAAUGGAAAGGUUGGAGGUUUGAGUCACCCAGAGGUGCCUCAGAAGAAAGGCCUGGGGAAUUACUUUUGAAAAGUCAGUCAUUGAAAACCCUAUGGAGCACAGCUCUACUCCGACACAUUUAGGGUCACCACGAGUCAGCAUCGACUCAAGGGCAAUUGGUAAUGUAACAUAACAUAGUCACAGGUCUGGGGACUAAUGUGGGCACAUUUGGGGGGCCAUUAACAAGCCAUGCUACAGUACCAGUCCUUGGGAUUUAAACAUAGCCAUAAAGGCCUGUUGAGUGGUAGUGUAAGAGUCUCCGGGUCAGGGGUGAUGCCUAAGCCUGUAGCACUGCGGCUACUUAUAUCAUAAAACCAUUGCCUGUUCAACAUGCACAUUUCCAAACACUAUGAGCCUCUUUAGAGCAGUUUUGAUCCCAAAGUUAUCUUUGUAUCCCCACCACCCGAUAGAGCUCAUGACAUAAUGAAGGCUGGAUAAAUAAACGCAUGAAUGAAUAAACGAAUGCCAUGGUAGAUCAGGUUCAAGUCAGGGAAUAGCCUGGUAUGAACCAGUCUCCUAGGUGCAGAACAACCAUGGCCUGGAGUAAGGACAGUACAAGAUGUCCCAAGUCCCUCCCCAACUUCAGCCAUGGCUCUCCAAACCUUCAUUGGGAGGACCCGAAUUCUAUUCUGAAAACCUCUUCUACAGUUUAACUCACAAAAGGUUAACUGAGGGAAAUGGUAUUGAGUCAACCACCGAAAAAAGAAUCAAAUCCAUUGCCGUUGAGUCAAUUCUGACUGAUAGCUACCCGACAGGAUAGAGUAGAACUGCCCCAUAGGGCUUCCAAGGAGCAGCUGGUAGAUUCGAUAAGGAAAAUCGAAUUAACCAUAGAUUGAUAUGAAGUAGUAAGACAAUGAAUGGGGGUAGACUGAAUUGUGGAAUCAAGAAAAUGAAAAACUACCUAUAAAAUGGUGACCUCUCCCCUGCAAAAAAUCUGGUGUUUUAAUAGACAAGUCUUCUUUGCUGAUCAUUCUUGCCCAAAGAAGGGUCACUACAUAGACUUCUUGAUGAAACUUCCAGGCUUACAAUGAUUUCCCCUUGUAAAGAGGUUCUAUCCCAGUAUACAAAUAUAGAACCCAACAGUGAUAUAGUACUACCCUGGCCCCUCUCCCAUGAACUCCUAGCCUGGGCAGAACUAAUUGGACUCAUUUCCUGGGACUCAGUUACUUCUCUAAAGAGAAGUUUCAUCAACUACUGUUGCUGAAAACCUCAGAGCUGUCCCAUCAUUGAGCUGAUUCCUUACUGUUUCUGGGUUGUUCAGUUUGCCCUUGAAUUCUGGAAAGGUAUACUAAUAUCUUUCCCCCAAAAUUCCACUUCUCCUCUCCUCCCACUUUUUUUUUUUUUUUUAUCUUCAGAUAGCCAGAGUUGCUUUCUGUUAUUUGCAAUCAAAAGAAACUUAUCUAAUAUAGCCACCAAUUCAGGCUCAUUAUAAUUUCCACCAAAGAUCAAAGAUGGUACCUCAGCUCCAUAGGAGAAGAACUCUGGGUUAGUGAUACUCGAGACCAAAUUAACUCCAGGACAUGGUUGGAAGAUUCAGAUAAAAGGCAAUAGGAGGCAAAGGGUGGUAGAGGAAGGAGAGGGAGGAAGAUCAGCAACCACAGGCCUUGGAAACUUGACUGCAAGUUUCACUUCAUUUUCUGAGCUACAUGAGGGAGGCUGUUGUUUCCUGACUUUGAUGUGAAACCUGGUUUCAGAAAUGCUCGGUGGAGGUAUAUGUUUGAGACAAUCAGAGCAGACAUUCCAAAUGGAUUUGACUGAACAGUAACUUACAGAAUACCUAUUACGUAUGUACUAAUGUACCAUGGUGGCGCAGUGGUUAAGUGUUGGACCGCUAACUGAAAUGUUGGUGGUUGGAACCCACCAGCUGCUCCGCAGGAGAAAGAUGUUGCAAUCUGUUUCCGUAAAGAUGUAUAACCUCGGAAAAUCUAUGGAACAGUUCUAUUCUGUCCUAUAGGGUCACUAUGAGUUGAUAUUGACUGGGCUGCAACGGGUAUGGUUUUGAUAUCAUAUAUGUAAUACGAUUAGAUUGUUAGAUUUUAUUGAAAGAAUCUUUAUCAUGUACUCCUGUAGGGAAUUCAGAACAAGAGUAAAAACAGUCUCAAGCCUCAGGCAUUAGUUUGUUAAUCUGAAAUACAGCAUAGUGCAGUGCACUCAUAAUGCCUAAAAGGAAAAUGCUAAUUUACAACAUUUUUUUAAUGCACUAAAGCUAGUGUUUACUCAUCAGGUUUCCCAGUUAGACUGUAAGGUGUUUGAAGGCAAAGAUCAAAUCUGAUUGAUCUAGCUAGCUCAUCAGGGGCUAAGAGUGCCCAGAUAAUAGUUGGCACUCUUAAUAUUUUUUGAUUAAAUUAAAAUAAGAUACAUUAAUUUAUGUUUUAUUAUUGCCUUCAGGUUUUGAGAAUGAGUUUUGCAACUUGCUUAUACACUGUGGGAUUUUCUGCCUCCUUUUGCCAAUGAGAAGUGACUUUUUGGGGUUUUAUAGGAAUAUUCAAGGAGCCUUGGUGGCACUAUAGUUAAGCACGUGGCUGCUAACUGAAAGAUUGGUGGUUCAACCCAUCAGCGGCUAUGUGGAAGAAAAGACCUGACCACCUGUUCUCAUAAUGAUUACAGCCUAGGAAAUCCUAUGGCACGCUUCUAUUCUGUCCUAUAGGGUCACUAUGAGUCAGAAUCUACUUGCGGCACACAGCAACACCACAGGAAUAUUCAAGACCUCUCUCUUUCCUUCUUUUGCUACCUGUUCUGCAAAUGGACUUUAACCCAUCAUAAAAUGAAGCUAGUAAAAACGCUAUCGUUUACAUGUUGACCCGUUAUAAAAUGGUACUAGUGAAAAACACUAUCACUAUCAUUUACAUGCAAGGAGCCCUGGUGGUGCAGAGGUUAAGCAUUCCACUGCUAACCAAAAGGUCAGCAGUUGGAAUCCAUCAGCCUCUCCUUGGAAACCCUAUGGGGCAGUUCUACUCUCUCCUGUAGGGUCUCUAUGAGUUGGAAUCAGCUCGAUGGCAAUGGGUUUGGUUUUUUGGGUUUUUUUUUUAUGUCUAAUCUCAUUAAAUUUUCACAGCAAGUCAUUAAGGUAUGAACUAUUUUACCAUCAGCUCAAUUUUAUAAGAUGAUGAAAUUGAAGGUCAGAGAAGUUAUACAACUUGCCUGAGGACACAGAACUGGCAAACAGCUGAGGCUAGAGUUGAACCUGGAGUUCACGUGUUCACUCGUUAUACCAUACAUUAUUCUUAGCCUCUGUAUAUCAGCAACACAGAAACUCUCUAUGGCUUGUGAAAUGAUGUAUUCUAUUUAGUGUGGGCAAGAGAUGACAUGUAUAAAUCAAAAUGCAAAGAAGAAGCAGAUUCUUUAGGCAGCAGCUUAAGGUCAGGAGAUGUGAGUUUUGCCUCAAUGUAUCUCUCUAGGUCUCAUUUUUUUUCGUUGUGAAGGAGAAAUUAAAUGUUCCCUGAGCUGCCUUCCAGUUGUAACAUUCUUUAAAUCUAGUUAAGAAUAUACAUCCAAUCGAGGGGGAACAAAAUUAUUGAGUGUUAUGAAACUUAGUAACCAAACGUGUGUCCUGAUUCCUGUAAAGGUACAAUAUUCACUUGCAAUAUUUUGUGUCAUUUUAUCUUUGCCUCUUAUUUUCUUUUUCCUCUGCUUUCUUCAUUCAAACUUUAUAUUUUACUGUAUUACUUUUACAUGGUGGUCAUUGUUAGGUGCCAUCGAGUUGAUUUUUGACUCAUAGUGACCCCAUGUGACAAAGUAGAACUGCCCCAUAGAGCUCUCUUGGCUGUAAUCUUUACUGGAGCAGAUAACCAAGUCUUUCUCCCACAGAGCCGCUGGGUGGUUCAAAACACCAGACUUUCUGUUAGCAGCCGAGUGCUUAACCUUUGCACAGGUCUGGGGACUAUUGUAUUUAUAUAGGCUGUUUUAUAUCCUUUCUGGAGAGACAUGGAUGAAAUUGGCCUAAGUACUUUGAGGAUGUUUUCUAGUCAGGAUUUUAAUAUUUUAAGAUUUCUUUUACUAUAAUUUCUUAAAUGGCAAUUCAUAUAAAUAAAACAAGGACAGCAAUAAAUACAAAGGCAGAAGUUCAAAUUGAUUCACAUUCUUUAGAACAAUAACUUUAUGAACUUUAAAGACGAGCUACUGAGGGAUAAUGCUAAAGCACAUGUAGUCCUUUGAUAUCUUACAAACAGAUAAUUGUGGCUGGGAUUCUUCAUCUCCAAAUCUAUUUAAUAUCAUACUAUGCUGUGGUGAUAUAAUACUGUGGUGU